UUUAACCGCAAUUAAGAGGUGUGAAGUUGCAUUUGAACGUUUCAAUGGGUCUUCCUCGGCAAUCAAGUGAUUUUACCUGAGAGAUUCCUUCUCUGUUAUCGGAUGAAACUGUCUGUCGAGAGCAAGUGAUCGUCACUUGUGUGUAAUACGAGUUUUUGACAGGUAAUGCUGCAGGAUUAUUUUGCACGGCACUUGGUAAUCGUCAGAUCAACGGAAAAAUCCAGUGAUUACUUCGGAGCGGUAUCUCUCGAAAUGCCUGCUAAGAUAAAGGGGAGACGCUCAGCUGCACAAGAAUCGGCGGUAAAAGUGGCUGAGAGAAGGCUUUUGAAUAAAAUGACAGAGUGUGGGUUUGAUGGGAAAGAGUUCACAAAAGGAUUAGAUGUUAUAGUAGGCUAACAGCCGCAAAAAUGAAAGGAAAAACACAUAUCAAAAUUCGUUUUAUACACUACAGCUCUUGGGCAAGGGCAUUGGAGAAGCAAGACACUGGACCUGACGGAUGUCAUAACAACUUUCCAGCAGUGGUGCUUUCUUUCUCUCUUACCUAACCAGGUGAAAGCUGAGAUUAGACAGGGCCUAUGCUGUUUCCAUGGAGGAAUUCUGCCAAGCUGUCUUAUCAACACCAUGAUGCUUAGCACGUAGUUCAAAGAUGCCAAUUAUCUCUUCGUUGAAACAAUCAAAUUCCAACUAGCCAAGAGCUCAAGUAGACUGUCAAACCAGGGAUGACAUUGUUGAUUAAUCAUUGUGGUGGUGCUUUGUCCAACCUUGAGUAAUUGAGUAAAGUGAUAAGAUCAGUUCUGCCAUAGGGAACAUUCAGCAGUUUUGGACAGGACUCGGAUAACAGGAAGCAACAAUGAAACUUGACUGUCACCCAGAUCAAGAUUGGAAUGCCAAGUUCAAGCUACAACUAAAGUAUUUACAUAAAACAAGUUCCCUGGAGGUGCUAGAAUUUGCCUGAUGUUAUCUACAUCAGAAAUGAAA